rnacentral:lncRNA from 1 species
UUGUGAAGUGAGCGAGACCACGAACCCACCCAAAGGAAGAAACUCUGGACACAUCUGAAGGAACGAACUCCAGACACACCUUAUCUAAGAACUGUAACACUUACCGCGAGGGUCCGCAGCUUCAGUCUGGAAGUCAGCGAGACCAAGAACCGACCAAUUCCGGACACAUUAGGCAUGGAAGCCUUUCCAGUUGUGAGUAAUUUGCUGAUUCAUUGUCAAGAGGAGACAAAUGAAACAAAAGGGAAAAUUCGUGUGCUGCUUAAACACAGAAUGAACGAGCUUUGUGGACUACUGGGCCCAGCUGAAUGGUUCUCACCUGAGGUCUGUCAUGUAGUAGAGGAAGCUGCAGUCAGCAGAAGGCAUGACUGAUUGCAUGCCAAAAAUGGCUCAGUCACAUGGGUGGAAUUUGAUGCCAGUUCCUGGUUGAGAGCUCAGCUAUGGCUAUUGACUGGAUAUCUACACAGGGCUGUCCUCGUGGCAUGGGAGUCUCACAAUGACAACUGAGUUCUCAGAAGGAGAGUGCCUACAGCAGGCACUCCAAAAGAGGGCACUCCCAGACCAAGAGAUGGAUUAGCUGUUUGCCACACUCCUUUUUAUUGCUAGUCUCCACGUCUUAACCUAUGAGAGACUGUAUAACUGAGCUGUAGAUGAAAUAAGGUGGGCCAAAGCAAUAUAUGCCACAAGGAAUACCCACAAGCAUGACUUACGUUAGUUUUCCUGCUCGACUCUAGGAAAUAAAGCAGAACAUAGACUCAGCUGCUCCACCAGCCCCAGUGUCCACCUACCUGGAACUCCCAUAGGUAUUAAAUAGGUGAACAUUAAAAACUUUCAGUUUGCUGAUCCAUUAUAUUUCUGAGUACACUUGUUGUUCAGCCUCACCUACCCCAAUGAAUAUAUGAUAUCAGACAUA